AUAAAUGUCACUGUAGGUCAAUUAAGAGAUGUGUUAAUGACAUCACUAAAAGAUAUAUCAAGGUUGAAGAAGUCUAAAGUUGAUUCAUGUUAAUGCAUGUGGACUAGAAUGAUGGCUAAAGAUAUGAGGUUCUAUACUAGAGACAAUAUACAUAUAGAAUAUCAUAGACAAUACACCUAUAUUAGUCGAGCAUGAGACUUAUCCGAUAUUCCCUACAUAUAUGUUGUAUGUACAAUGUAUUAUAUUGAGAAGAGCUCUAAGGACUGUAGACGGGAUGUAUACCUUAACGCAUUUAAAUUCCAAAUAUAGUCACUUAAGAGGAUGGCCAUGUUGUUGAAUAAUGGACUUAAUUUAAUAAAACCUCUUAUGUUAGUUGCAAAGAGAGUGAGAUUGAGAAGGGGCAAAAAUGAGCAUAAAAAAUUUGACAUCAUGUCUAGAUGGGAUGAAGAGGAUGUUAAAUUUAAUAAAUCACUCGAUUGAGUUCAACAAGCAAUGAUAUAGUAAGCAAUCUAAUGAAGUUAAAUAACAUUAUUUAUUUUUUAUUCAAUCAAGUAUAAAUUGAUAUUUGACCAACAAAGUUUUUAAUCUCUUUCUAACAAAACAACUCCACUAUGGGCGACAAAAAAACAAAUUGAAGAAGCAAUAGAAAGAGCAUAAUUUAUAAACUUGUUCAGGGUGGUCUGUUUAUUGUCAUUGUCUUGCAAUAUUACACCAAUCAAUUAGUAACACUAGAUGCUUAAUAUGAUUAAAAGUUUAGAAAUAAAAUGUCAUGCCCCUAUUUCCCCCACUGAGGGUUACCGUCGUCAAUUACUAACUAAUUCAGAGAAUUAGCCAAUCACAACACAUGAGUAUCACAAAAAUGAUUAACUAUUCAUCUAUUUAUCAUACUGUAAUAAUAAUUACAAUAACAUGAGGUUCAAAAAUAUAGGGUCAAAACAAAAAAUUUCAUUACCCCUUUAGUACAUAAUGCUAGAAUUUCGUCUUAAGCAUACUACAUGUUUAUCACUGAUCUGAUUUUGGCUUCAGAUCCUAUUGGUCUGAAGAAGAUUACAAUUUAAUUAGGUGAGCUUUUCAUGCGCCCAAUAAGUAUAAAAAUUAAACUACAACCUAAGCAUGUGACAUACAAAUAUACAGUCAUUCAUAAAUGUAACAGUUUUCCUUUUUUCUUUUUAUUUAGAAACCAUAAUGAAUGAAGUAACUAAAUUUCCUAAGUUUUGCCCCUUUCAUUCUCUUUCAUCUAAAUCUCCCAAGUUUUCCUUUUUCUUUCUUUCUACCAUAUUAUAAAAUUUAUUCUUAAAUUCCUAUUUUUUUAAAUCCUUCUUUCGCCUCUAAUUUCUUUAGAGUUGCAUUAUUCUUUUUCUUAGUUACCCAUACAUUUCAAUCCAUCACAUAUCAUGUCAUAAUUAAGUCUUCCAU
rnacentral:lncRNA from 1 species